GUGGGGAAUAUUGGGCAAUGGGGGAAACCCUGACCCAGCAACGCCGCGUGAAGGAAGAAGGUUUUCGGAUCGUAAACUUCUAUCCUUGGUGAAGAUAAUGACGGUAGCCAAGAAGGAAGCCCCGGCUAACUACGUGCCAGCAGCCGCGGUAAUACGUAGGGGGCAAGCGUUGUCCGGAAUGAUUGGGCGUAAAGGGCGCGUAGGCGGCCUGGUAAGUCUGGAGUGAAAGUCCUGCUUUUAAGGUGGGAAUUGCUUUGGAUACUGUCGGGCUUAAGUGCAGGAGAGGUAAGCGGAAUUCCCGGUGUGGCGGUGAAAUGCGUAGAGAUCGGGAGGAACACCAGUGGCGAAGGCGGCUUACUGGACUGUAACUGACGCUGAGGCGCGAAAGUGUGGGGAGCAAACAGGAUGAGAAACCCGAGUAGUCC
rnacentral:rRNA from 1 species